UACGUAGGGGGCAAGCGUUGUCCGGAAUCAUUGGGCGUAAAGAGCGUGUAGGCGGCCCGAUAAGUCCGCUGUGAAAGUCCAGGGCUCAACCCUGGAAUGCCGGUGGAUACUGUCGGGCUCGAAUCCGGAAGAGGUGAGUGGAAUUCCUGGUGUAGCGGUGAAAUGCGCAGAUAUCAGGAGGAACACCAGUGGCGAAGGCGGCUCACUGGCCCGGUACUGACGCUGAGGCGCGAAAGCGUGGGGAGCAAACAGG
rnacentral:rRNA from 1 species